CCGAACCGACUAAUGUUGAAAAAUUAGCGGAUGACCUGUGGCUGGGGGUGAAAGGCCAAUCAAACCGGGAGAUAGCUGGUUCUCCCCGAAAGCUAUUUAGGUAGCGCCUCGUGAAUUCAUCUCCGGGGGUAGAGCACUGUUUCGGCUAGGGGGCCAUCCCGGCUUACCAACCCGAUGCAAACUGCGAAUACCGGAGAAUGUUAUCACGGGAGACACACGGCGGGUGCUAACGUCCGUCGUGAAGAGGGAAACAACCCAGACCGCCAGCUAAGGUCCCAAAGUCAUGGUUAAGUGGGAAACGAUGUGGGAAGGCCCAGACAGCCAGGAUGUUGGCUUAGAAGCAGCCAUCAUUUAAAGAAAGCGUAAUAGCUCACUGGUCGAGUCGGCCUGCGCGGAAGAUGUAACGGGGCUAAACCAUGCACCGAAG
rnacentral:rRNA from 1 species